GUCUCAGUGGCGUAGCGGUUAGCGCACGAGCCCCGGUAAGGCGCUAGACGCGUGUUUGAAUCCCGCCUGAGCCG
rnacentral:tRNA from 1 species